rnacentral:rRNA from 1 species
AGCAGCCACUCAUUAAAAGAGUGCGUAAUAGCUCACUGGUCGAGUGACUCUGCGCCGAAAAUUUAACGGGGCUAAACUAUACACCGAAGCUUGGGAUACAUCUAAUGUAUGGUAGGAGAGCGUUCUGUAUGGGGAGAAGUCGUAGCGAAAGCGGCGGUGGACUAUACAGAAGUGAGAAUGCCGGAAUAAGUAGCGAGAAUUAAGUGAGAAUCUUAAUGGCCGAAAGUCUAAGGUUUUUGGAGGAAGGUUCGUCCGCUCCAAGUAAGUCGGGAGCUAAGGUCAGGCCGAAAGGCGUAGCCGAUGCACAUACGGUUGAUAUUCCGUAACCAUCUGUAAUUUAAGCAAAGGGACACUUCAAAAGGGUGUGACCCGGGCGUUGGUUGACCCGGGCGUAAGGGACCGAAAUUAGAGUAGGGAAGCACACUUAGCUGAAGGCGAGAAAAGCUUUGCGUAUAGAAACAGAUGCCCGUACCGCAAACCGACACAGGUGGACAGGAAGAGAAUUCUAAGGCCAGCGGGAGAAGGGUAGUUAAGGAACUCGGCAAAUUGACUCCGUAACUUCGGAAUAAGGAGUGCUCGAAAGAGCCGCAGAGAAUAGGCCCAGGCGACUGUUUAGCAAAAACACAGGUCUCUGCCAAAUCGAAAGAUGAAGUAUAGGGGCUGACACCUGCCCGGUGCCGGAAGGUUAAGAGGAGGAGUGAGAGCUCCGAAUUGAAGCCCCGGUAAACGGCGGCCGUAACUAUAACGGUCCUAAGGUAGCGAAAUUCCUUGUCGGGUAAGUUCCGACCCGCACGAAUGGCGUAACGACUUGUGAGCUGUCUCAACAGGAGGCCCGGUGAAAUUGAAGUAUGUGUGAAGAUGCACAUUACCCGCGACUGGACGGAAAGACCCCGUAGAGCUUUACUGUAACCUGACAUUGGAUCUUGAUAACGGAUGCACAGGAUAGGUGGGACGCUGGGAGGUAUGGACUUUGGUCUGUACGGAGCGGACGUUGGGAUACCACUCUUCUGUUAUUGAGAUUCUAACCUCAAGCCGUAAGCCGGAUGAGAGACAGUGUCAGGCGGACAGUUUGACUGGGGCGGUCGCCUCCGAAAGAGUAACGGAGGCGCCCAAAGGUACCCUCAGAAUGGAUGGAAACCAUUCGAAGAGAGCAAAGUCAGAAGGGUGCUUGACUGCGAGACCAACAAGUCGAGCAGGUACGAAAGUAGGGCUUAGUGAUCCGGCGGUAAGAGAGUGGAAUUGCCGUCGCUCAACGGAUAAAAGCUACCUCGGGGAUAACAGGCUGAUCUCCCCCAAGAGUCCACAUCGACGGGGAGGUUUGGCAC